GACGAACGCUGGCGGCGUGCUUAACACAUGCAAGUCGAACGGAAAGGCCCUGCUUGCAUGGUACUCGCGUGGCGAACGGGGGUGUAAAACGUGGGUGAACCGUCCUGCACUUUGGGAUAAGACUGGGAAAAUGGGUCUAUAAUCCGAUAUGACCUCCCAUGUAGGGUGGGGGGUGGGAGGAAUUGUCGGUGUGGGGUGAGGGCGCCGCCUGUACGCUUGUUGGUGGGGUAGUGGCCGACUCAGGCCACGACGGCGAGCCGGCCUGGGAGGGUGGACGGCCACAUUGGGACUGAGCUACGGCCCAGACUCCUACGGGAGGCAGCAGUGGGGAAUAUUGCACAAUGGGCGGAAGCCUUAUGCAGCGACGCCGCGUGGGGGAUGACGGCCUUCGGGUUGUAAACCACUUUCGACUGGGACGAAGCGUCGGUGACGGUACCUGAAAAAGAAGCACCGGCUAACUACGUG
rnacentral:rRNA from 1 species